rnacentral:rRNA from 1 species
AUUGAACGCUGGCGGCAUGCCUUACACAUGCAAGUCGAACGGUAACAGGUUAAGCUGACGAGUGGCGAACGGGUGAGUAAUGUAUCGGAACGUGCCCAGUCGUGGGGGAUAACUGCUCGAAAGAGCAGCUAAUACCGCAUACGACCUGAGGGUGAAAGCGGGGGAUCGCAAGACCUCGCGCGAUUGGAGCGGCCGAUAUCAGAUUAGGAAGUUGGUGAGGUAAAGGCUCACCAAGCCGACGAUCUGUAGCUGGUCUGAGAGGACGACCAGCCACACUGGGACUGAGACACGGCCCAGACUCCUACGGGAGGCAGCAGUGGGGAAUUUUGGACAAUGGGCGCAAGCCUGAUCCAGCCAUGCCGCGUGCGGGAAGAAGGCCUUCGGGUUGUAAACCGCUUUUGUCAGGGAAGAAAAGGUUCUGGCUAAUACCUGGGACUCAUGACGGUACCUGAAGAAUAAGCACCGGCUAACUACGUG